rnacentral:rRNA from 1 species
GAGUUUGAUCUUGCUCAGAUUGAACGCUGGCGGCAUGCCUUACACAUGCAAGUCGAACGGCAGCAUGAUCUAGCUUGCUAGAUUGAUGGCGAGUGGCGAACGGGUGAGUAAUACAUCGGAACGUGCCCUGUAGUGGGGGAUAACUAGUCGAAAGAUUAGCUAAUACCGCAUACGACCUGAGGGUGAAAGUGGGGGACCGCAAGGCCUCAUGCUAUAGGAGCGGCCGAUGUCUGAUUAGCUAGUUGGUGGGGUAAAGGCCCACCAAGGCGACGAUCAGUAGCUGGUCUGAGAGGACGAUCAGCCACACUGGGACUGAGACACGGCCCAGACUCCUACGGGAGGCAGCAGUGGGAAUUUUGGACAAUGGGCGAAAGCCUGAUCCAGCAAUGCCGCGUGUGUGAAGAAGGCCUCGG